rnacentral:tRNA from 1 species
UUUCCUGUGGUGUAAUGGUAGCACCUCUGAUUCUGGUUCAGAAGAUCGUGGUUCGAGUCCAUGCAGGAAAA